rnacentral:rRNA from 1 species
CACGCAUGACACACUGCAUAUCAAUAAGCGGAGGAAAAGAAACUAACAAGGAUUCCCUUAGUAACGGCGAGUGAAGCGGGAAGAGCUCAAAUUUGAAAUCUUAAAGGGUUUUCCCUUGACGAAUUGUAGUUUAAAGAAGUGUUUUCUGUUGAAGUUUUGGUAAAAGUUCUUUGGAAUAGGACUAUCAUAGAGGGUGAGAAUCCCGUAUUUGACCAUUAUUUUCCAGCUGUGUGAUACACUUUCAAAGAGUCGGAUUGUUUGGGAAUGCAGUCCAAAAUGGGUGGUAAAUUUCAUCUAAAGCUAAAUACUGGCGAGAGACCGAUAGCGAACAAGUACCGUGAGGGAAAGAUGAAAAGAACUUUGAAAAGAGAGUUAAACAGUACGUGAAAUUGUCAAAAGGGAAGCGUUUGACACCAGUGUUGUUUUCUCGAAAAUCAAUUAAAAAAGGCCGGAUUUUGUGUUGUAUUGACCUUAAAAGCUUUCUUCACUCUUUUCUUGUCUUUUUUAAUGCACUUUUCGUUUAACAGGUCAACAUCAAUUUCUUUUGUUGUAAAAGAGUCAUUGGAAGGUGGCUUUCAUUUCGGUGAAAGUGUUUAUAGCCUUUGACUUCUGCAAUCGGAGAGAUUGAGGUCUGCAGCGUAGAUCCUUCGGGGUUAGAUACAUUUGUGCUAAGCUAUAGCCUUGUAUAGACAACUUGUUGACUAUGCUCAGUCAUGUAGCUUACUCGCUUGUGCUAUUUUACCUACGCUUAGGAUGUUGAGCGCAUGUCUCUCUCU